GUCCGCGUGUCCCUAGGAGAGCCUCUGGCUCUACCCGUUCCAGCUGCACGCUCUCGCCCUCUCCUCCUUCGCGUCUCUCGUCGGCCCCUUUGGGGGGUUCUUUGCCAGCGGCUUCAAGCGCGCCUUCCAGAUCAAGGACUUCUCGAGCAGCAUCCCGGGCCACGGCGGCAUCGUGGACCGCCUGGACUGCCAGUACGUGGUGGGCACCUUCACCCACGUCUACAUCAGCACCUUCAUCCGGGCUCCAAACGUGAAUAAGAUUAUUCAGCAACUCCUGACGUUGAAGCCCGAGCAGCAACUGGAGAUUUUCAACCAACUCAAGGAUCAGCUUCUCAGCAGGGGUCUCAUUUGACCACCACGUGGCUCCUGGUUGAGGAGGCUAUAAACUCAACUGCAUACAAGCACCACAACCGCCACCUCCACAACUCUCCUCUUUUCUCCACGUUCCAAGGAGGAGCACCAGGGGCGAGCCCUCGUCCCAGGCCCCUCCCCGCUCAAGGACACCGUCUCAGCUGGGGUUCUGGGCCUUCUUCUCUCGCAGCGUCGAGACAUUUCUGAGUUUUGGUCGGUGAAACGAGAUGAAGAGUGAGGAGGAACCACCGGCGUUGCGAUGCUGCCUUCUGGGAGCGCGAUGCCCUGUCCUGGGUGUCCGCGUUUGUCACCCGGAGUGGCGAUGACCUCAAGGGCGGCGGUCCGUCAUGUUUUUUUAAUAUUUGUCUCACAACACAACAGAUGGUUUGUGAUUCAUAAUUAGAUAUUUUUCGGGGUGAGGCCACGAAGUGAUCUGGCCAGAUUUAUCUCGUAAGAACCUCCCCACCACACGACACGGCCAAACAAAUGAAUUGUCACGUGGUGUGCAGACGUUUCAUGACGUGCCGACGAUAGCAAACCUGUCAACCCCUUAUCAGUGCCCCUGCCUUAUUACAGACCAAUUCAGACCUUAUUGGUCACCCCGUGCCAUUUAUUAAUCUCAAGGUUCAUCCUGCAAGUCCCAUCACAAGGGAGAAACACAAACAAAUAGACAAACAAUAUGUUCUCCGUGUUGAAACGGCUGUGUGACGUAUGGACUCAAUUUCCCUGUGCAAGAAUACGGGGUAAACCGCGUGGGCUGACAGCUCUGCUAUAGUUUGUUCACCUCGCUCAGCGGCGAGGUGCGGGGGACGAGCCUCACGGCCACAUUCAGCGGUGAGAUCCGCGACGUUUCUCUCGAAGCUGCCCCGAGCAUUCUUGGGGCCUGGGUUGACGGUGGCCUGGGUUGACCCGACAAUGUGCGCGUGCGUCGCUGUGGUCAGAGCAGCUGACUCGUGAUCCGGAAGUCACGAGUUCAAGUCCCUGGCUCGGGGUCAGCAGCUGAGGAGGUGCAGUCAGUGCCGGAUGAAGUUCGCGUGGGGCCUGUAGCAUGAUGUUAUAAAGGGGCCCUAAACAAAAGAAACACAUAAAUAUUAAAACACAAUUUUUUUGUUACUGUCAUAAUAAAGUAAUUGUAUGUUUUCAUUUGCUAUACAGCCCGAUGAUACGACAAAUCGCUAACCUUACACACCCAGUCAUUAAUAAAAAUUGAAGGCAGUAUAGUACUAUAGUAAUAGAGCAAGUACAGAAUAACUAAACCGGAGUUGAUACCUUGAAAGCAUUUGGCUCGGGGCCCUUGAAAGUGCGGGGCCCGUAGCAAGUGCAGCUGCUACACGUGUAGCUACUACUACUAUACGUGCAGCUGCUACACGUGUAGCUACUACUACUAUACGUGCAGCUACUACACGUGCAGCUACUACACGUGCAGCUACUACACGUGCAGCUACUACACGUGCAGCUACUACACGUGCAGCUACUACACGUGCAGCUACUCGUGGUGCUACUACACGAGCAGCUACUACACGAGCAGCUACUACACGUGCAGCUACUACACGUGCAGCUACUACA